rnacentral:lncRNA from 1 species
UAGAAAUAGAUAUUAUAUAUUACAAAGAAUAGAGAUUAGCAAGGUUUACAUUGCAUAGCAGCUGAAGCACUGCUAUGUCCAUGCCUUAACAAAACAGAGCUAUUAGUAGAAUUGGGGCUCAUAAAAGAGUCUGACAACAUAAGAAUAUUACUACUAGAAUUACACAUAACAGACUAAUUCCCUAGGCAAAUUAGCUUAUUACAAGUAUACCACGAUACUAUUGUACUACAUAAGACUCCAUUCCGAUCCUUCUUGAGCUGGGCUUCAACAAUAUCUGGUGGAGUUAACAAAAAGUUGUUUGCACUAGUUCUUGACAGGUGAGAGCUUAAUCUGUAAAGACUAUAUGCUACUCCAUUUGCUUGGCUGAAGCUAUGUUGUACACAAGCUCUUCAACAUUUACCUACAAGAAUUGACGAUGUUAUCAACCUUUUUAUCACUAGCCUUUACCUUUGUUGACAUAGCUUCCGGGGGUGGUUGGUUAUGUCGUGUUGGUUGCUCAGUAGAGUUUGUUGCGGCUGUUGAUCUCCUUGUCAGAGUAGGCUUUCAUUUUGGGGGAAAUUUAACUGUUUGCCAUUCACUAGGAGGGAUCUGAGUACCUUCGAAAGGAAUAGAGUUGUCUAAUUUCGAGGGUUCUGAACUGGCGUCGGUCAAUUGAUGUUGACACUUUUCUUUAACAUGACCAAAUCUGCCACAUUUGAUACAAAGAAAUCCCUCUCCUUCAUAUAAAAUAGUCUAUUGAUUAUUACCUAUUUGGAUUUAGUUUCAGACUGGUUCCUCCAUAGCAAUUUGAACGAAAAGUUGAGUGUAUCUACCUCGAAGAGUUAAGCUGUUACAUGCAUCAAUCUUUAACAAUUUCCCUAUGGAAUUGCCAAUUUUUGUAAGUAAAAGUCCGCCAUAAAACUCAAUAGGAAAUUGGGGAAGACGAACCCAGACCACAGAGUAGGUAAUUUUCCCUUUUCAGGGACAAAGUUUGGUUCCCACCUUUUUAUUGAGAGUUAUUGGUCAUUAAUGAAUUAGGGGCCAUUUUGGAGAACAUGGGAAAUGCUCUCUGCUUUUUUAACUUUACAAUGUAAAAGUAGCAUCCCAAGUCAAUGAGUGGGAAAGUUUCAGCAGUUUUCCAUAAAGUGACAAGUUAGUCUUUGAAGUAUUAGUGUGCUAUUUUCUUUCCAAUAACUUGAUGAUAAGUGAAUGUUUCCAAGGAGAGCAAAGUUGCUCAUUUUCUUCUUGGAUAGAACGAUGGUCUUUAUUCCAUUGGUUAACACCCCUAUGUCAUCACCAGCUUUCUCUGAAAAAGUGUCAUUUUGGGAUUCCGUACAACCUUCCAUUAGAAGGUUAGUAACUUGUUUAGUAGCCAGCAAUUUUGAUUUAAAGGAGUCAGGAUUUCUUGUGGAAUCAGUUAAAUCAAGGGGAUUGGGGGUAUAAGAUUUGGAUUUUGAUGAGAAGAGGUUGGGUUAUUAGAAAUUGUUUCUCACACUAUGAAAAGUUAAUUGUUCAUCAUCAUAAAAGAUGGCUCAAUCUUUGAGAUAAUUAGCAGAGUUUAUCUGCUCUUAGUUUGAG